rnacentral:rRNA from 1 species
CGGGACGGGUGAGUAAUGUCUGGGAAACUGCCUGAUGGAGGGGGAUAACUACUGGAAACGGUAGCUAAUACCGCAUAACGUCGCAAGACCAAAGAGGGGGACCUUCGGGCCUCUUGCCAUCGGAUGUGCCAGAUGGGAUUAGCUAGUAGGUGGGGUAACGGCUCACCUAGGCGACGAUCCCUAGCUGGUCUGAGAGGAUGACCAGCCACACUGGAACUGAGACACGGUCCAG